UGUAAUAAAAAAUAAAAAUUCUCAUAUUUGUUUUCUCUUCAAAUGUCUUAUGUUUCUUGGCUAUCUCUUCACACAGGUGUGCAGCAUUAUAACUCUGGAGGCUCUGAGUACGUGGGCAGGGUUGUGGACACACGGACCUCACACAGGGAAACUGAUGGCCACCAUGUCACACACUGCAGUGGAAACCAUUCACAGAGGAUCCAAUGUGAGUGCCCACCUGGAGUUGUGCAGCAGUGCAGCCUUACAAGAGUACAGAUGGAGUGAGGGUUCACAGGUCUUCAGAAGGUGAGGAAUUUCACUGGAGAAACUGUACUUAAGAAUAUAUACUUGAGGGACUUCCCUGGUGACACAGUGGUUAAGAAUCUGCCUGCCAGUGCAGGGGACACAGGUUCAAUCCCUGGUCCAGGAAGAUCCCAAAUGCCACGG